rnacentral:rRNA from 1 species
CAGUCGCCGCGGUAAUGCGAAGGGUGCAAGCGUUAAUCGGAAUUACUGGGCGUAAAGCGUGCGUAGGCGGUGAGUUAAGUCUGCUGUGAAAUCCCCGGGCUCAACCUGGGAAUGGCAGUGGAUACUGGCUCGCUAGAGUGUGUCAGAGGAUGGUGGAAUUCCCGGUGUAGCGGUGAAAUGCGUAGAGAUCGGGAGGAACAUCAGUGGCGAAGGCGGCCAUCUGGGACAACACUGACGCUGAGGCACGAAAGCGUGGGGAGCAAACAGGAUUAGAUACCCGCGUAGUCCCUGUCUCUUAUAC